GGGGCGGUAGCUCAGUGGUAGAGUGGAGGAUUGCAGUUCUUAGCAACAGUUAUCCUUAGGUCAUGUGUUCGAUCCACAUUCGUCCCU